rnacentral:rRNA from 1 species
AUUGAACGCUGGCGGCAGGCUUAACACAUGCAAGUCGAGCGGGGUGAUGGUGCUUGCACUAUCACUUAGCGGCGGACGGGGGAGUAGUGCUUAGGAAUCUGCCAAUUAGUGGGGGACAAGAUCACGAAAGGGAUGCUAAUACCGCAUACGUCCUACGGGAGAAAGCAGGGGAUCACUUGUGACCUUGCGCUAAUAGAUGAGCCUAAGUCGGAUUAGCUAGUUGGUGGGGUAAAGGCCUACCAAGGCGACGAUCUGUAGCGGGUCUGAGAGGAUGAUCCGCCACACUGGGACUGAGACACGGCCCAGACUCCUACGGGAGGCAGCAGUGGGGAAUAUUGGACAAUGGGGGGAACCCUGAUCCAGCCAUGCCGCGUGUGUGAAGAAGGCCUUAUGGUUGUAAAGCACUUUAAGCGAGGAGGAGGCUCUUUUGGUUAAUACCCAAGAUGAGUGGACGUUACUCGCAGAAUAAGCACCGGCUAACUCUGUGCCAGCAGCCGCCGUAAAAC